rnacentral:rRNA from 1 species
UAGGGAAUAUUGCAAAAUGGGCGAAAGCCCGAUGCAGCAACGCCGCGUGGGCGAUGAAGGCCUUCGGGUCGUAAAGCCCUUUUUGAGGGGAUGAGGAAGGACAGUACCCUCGGAAUAAGCCUCGGCUAACUACGUGCCAGCAGCCGCGGUAAUACGGAGGGUGCAAGCGUUAUCCGGAUUUACUGGGUUUAAAGGGUGCGUAGGCGGAUGAAUAAGUCAGUGGUGAAAUCUCCGAGCUUAACUCGGAAACCGCCGUUGAUACUAUUUGGCUUGAAUAUUGUGGAGGUAAGCGGAAUAUGUCAUGUAGCGGUGAAAUGCUUAGAUAUGACAUAGAACACCAAUUGCGAAGGCAGCUUGCUACACAAUCAUUGACGCUGAGGCACGAAAGCGUGGGGAUCAAACA